GACGAACGCUGGCGGCGUGCUUAACACAUGCAAGUCGAACGGAAAGGCCCUGCUUGCAGGGUGCUCGAGUGGCGAACGGGUGAGUAACACGUGGGUGAUCUGCCCCUUACUUUGGGAUAAGCCUGGGAAACUGGGUCUAAUACUGGAUAGGACCAUGCUGUAGGUCGUGUGGUGGAAAGAUUAGUUUCGGUAAGGGAUGAGCUCGCGGCCUAUCAGCUUGUUGGUGGGGUAAUGGCCUACCAAGGCGUCGACGGGUAGCCGGCCUGAGAGGGUGGACGGCCACAUUGGGACUGAGAUACGGCCCAGACUCCUACGGGAGGCAGCAGUGGGGAAUAUUGCACAAUGGGCGCAAGCCUGAUGCAGCGACGCCGCGUGGGGGAUGACGGCCUUCGGGUUGUAAACUCCUUUCAGCCAUGACGAAGCCCUUGUGGUGACGGUAGUGGUAGAAGAAGCACCGGCUAACUACGUG
rnacentral:rRNA from 1 species